rnacentral:rRNA from 1 species
AUAGAGACUCAGAGCUGCAUAUCAAUAAGCGGAGGAAAAGAAACUAACUAGGAUUCCCUCAGUAACGGCGAGUGAAGCGGGAAGAGCUCAAAUUUGAAAUCUUCAAGGUUUUACCUUGACGAAUUGUAGUUUAAAGAAGUGUUUUCUGUUGGAGUUUUGGUAAAAGUUCUUUGGAAAAGGACAUCAUAGAGGGUGAGAAUCCCGUAUUUGACCAUUAUCUCCAGCUUUGUGAUACACUUUCAAAGAGUCGGAUUGUUUGGGAAUGCAGUCCAAAAUGUGGUGGUAAAUUUCAUCUAAAGCUAAAUACUGGCGAGAGACCGAUAGCGAACAAGUACCGUGAGGGAAAGAUGAAAAGAACUUUGAAAAGAGAGUUAAACAGUACGUGAAAUUGUCAAAAGGGAAGCGUUUGACACCAGUGUUGUUUUCUCGAAAAUCAAUUAAAAAAGGCCGGAUUUUGUGUUGUAUUGACUUUAUCAGCUUUCUGCACUUUUUUCGAGUCUUUCUUAAUGCACUUUUCGGUUAACAAGUCAACAUCAAUUUCUUUUGUUGUAAAAGAGUCAUUGGAAGGUGGCUUUCUUUUCGGAGAAAGUGUUUAUAGCCCUAUUGCCUCUACAAUCGGAGAGAUUGAGGUCUGCAGCGUAGAUCCUUCGGGGUUAGAUACAUUUGUGCUAAGUUAGUAGCCUUUCAUAGACAACUUGUUGACUAUGAUUAAGUCAUGUAGCUUACUCGCUUAUGCCUAUUUUACCUACGCUUAGGAUGUUGACGAUCAGCUGAGCGCG